rnacentral:rRNA from 1 species
AUUGAACGCUGGCGGCAGGCCUAACACAUGCAAGUCGAACGAGUGGCGGACGGGUGAGUAAUGUCUGGGAAACUGCCCGAUGGAGGGGGAUAACUACUGGAAACGGUAGCUAAUACCGCAUACCAUCGGAUUUGCCCAGAUGGGAUUAGCUAGUAGGUGGGGUAACGGCUCACCUAGGCGACGAUCCCUAGCUGUUCUGAGAGGAUGCCCAGCAAUACUGGAACUGAGACACGGUCCAGACUCCUACGGGAGGAAGCAGUGGGGAAUAUUGUACAAGGGGCGCAAGCCUGAUGCAGCCAGGCCGCGUGGAUGAAGAAGGCCUUCGGGUGGUAAAGUACUUUAAGCGAGGAGGCGGUACCCGCAGAAGAAGCACCGGCUAACUCCGUGCCAGCAGCCGCGGUAAUAC